AUUAGUUUUUUAAUCAAGCUUGUGCACUACAUGAGAUUUCUGACUAUUUCUUGUCAUUUGUGCUGCGUUAAUGUCAGUUACGAAGAGAUGCCUUUGCCAACAGAGAUAGACGCACAAUCGUAUCUGAUUUCAGUAAAAGAGCAUUUCAAGGAUGAUACAGGAGAAUUUGCACAGUUUAUUCAAAUUCUCAAUGAUUUUAGGUCAAAGACAUGUGAUGCGAUUGGGAUUAUCACCAGAUUGAAACAGCUGGUUAAGAGCCAUGAACUUCUUUUAAGUUUCAAGAAAUUCCUCCCAAAAGGCUUGGAAAUCUUGUGUCCUUCCAAAGAUUGUCUACGAAACAAACAGUGACUUCAGCUUAAGGAAACCCUAAGAUAUAUUCAGAAGAUAAGCAUACGCGCUUCCAAGAUGAAGAAUAUAUACGCAAGGGAUUUUGCAUUCUUGGAAAAUGUUCAGAAGUUGUGGAUGAAUUUAAUGAAAUCAUUUCUCAAAGUACAAAUGGGAUAGCUGUGCCUUUAGCUAGAGAUGGACACAAAGAUCAACAUCACAAAUCAAGGGCUAUGUUGGGUAGCAAUGCUUUACUAGCUUCAGACAAUGAGAAAAUCACAUACAAUUCCAUAUCAGAGAUGGACCUUUCUCAUUUGGAGCAAUGUACUCCUAGAUACCGUUUGCAACAACAGAAUGUAAGGAAAAUUUCUCUCGUUUUAAUGGAAGAAUCGCUGUC